UACGUAGGGGGCAAGCGUUAUCCGGAUUUACCGGGUGUAAAGGGAGCGUAGACGGAAUAGCAAGUCUGAUGUGAAAACCCGGGGCUCAACUCCGGGAGUGCAUUGGAAACUGUUGAUCUAGAGUGUCGGAGAGGCAAGCGGAAUUCCUAGUGUAGCGGUGAAAUGCGUAGAUAUUAGGAGGAACACCAGUGGCGAAGGCGGCUUGCUGGACGAUGACUGACGUUGAGGCUCGAAAGCGUGGGGAGCAAACAGG
rnacentral:rRNA from 1 species